rnacentral:misc_RNA from 1 species
GAGAAGAACGCAGCGAAAUGCGAUAAGUAAUGUGAAUUGCAGAAUCCAGUGAAUCAUCGAAUCUUUGAACGCACAUUGCGCCCGCCAGCAUUCUGGCGGGCAUGCCUGUUCGAGCGUCAUUUCAACCCUCGACCUCCCUUUGGGGAAGUCGGCGUUGGGGACCGGCAGCACACCGCCGGCCCUGAAAUGGAGUGGCGGCCCGUCCGCGGCGACCUCUGCGUAGUAAACCAACUCGCACCGGAACCCCGACGUGGCCACGCCGUAAAACACCCAACUUCUGAACGUUGACCUCGAAUCAGGUAGGACUACCCGCUGAACUUAAGCAUAUCAAUAAGCGGAGGA